UACGUAGGGUGCAAGCGUUAAUCGGAAUUACUGGGCGUAAAGCGUGCGCAGGCGGCUUUGCAAGCCAGAUGUGAAAUCCCCGGGCUUAACCUGGGAACUGCAUUUGUGACUGCAUGGCUAGAGUGCGGCGGAGGGGGAUGGAAUUCCGCGUGUAGCAGUGAAAUGCGUAGAUAUGCGGAGGAACACCGAUGGCGAAGGCAAUCCCCUGGGCCUGCACUGACGCUCAUGCACGAAAGCGUGGGGAGCAAACAGG
rnacentral:rRNA from 1 species